GUUGUGGUGAUGAAAGCUGUCAUUGGACUAUGCGUCGUGGUGCUUUUGGCUGGAAUGCUGGGCCUUUUGCUGAUAGACUGAACAGGAAGAAAGAAUUGCAGUACAGUGAGAGGACACAAGCAGGAAGGAGCUCCAGACUAGGUGCUUGUCAAAUCUAGGGCCCUUCUCAUGUGGAAGACACUGAGGUUCAGUUUGCAUCUCUGGGUCGGCAGAACUGGAGGGAAAGAUCGAGGGUACAGGGAGACCUGCAUCACGUCAUCUAUCCCGCUGUGGUCACUGCUAGACCAGCAUUCCAGGGUUUGAAGAGAAUAAUACAUAGAUUUGACGGUUUG